AUACAGAGUCGGACCUGCCCAGUGAAUUGUUUUAACGGCCGCGGUACUCUGACCGUGCAAAGGUAGCAUAAUCAUUUGCCCUAUAAUUGAGGGCUAGUAUGAAUGGUUUGACAAGAACAAAGCUGUCUCUCUAAGAUUAGCUAGAAUUUAAUUUCUAGGUGAAGAUGCCUAGAUUUAAUUGAUAGACAAGAAGACCCUAUCGAGCUUUAAAUAAUUGGUAUUAAAAGGUAAAAAAUUAGUUAAUAUUUUUAACUAAUCUAUAUUUUAGUUGGGGCGACUAAGGAACAAACAAAGCUUCUUUAUAAGUUGAAAACUUUUAGGUUUUGAUCCAGAAUUUUUGAUUAAAAGAAUUAGUUACCGUAGGGAUAACAGCAUAAUCUUUUUUGAGAGCUCUUAUCGAAAAAAAGGUUUGUGACCUCGAUGUUGGACUAAAAUAUCCUAAAGAUGUAGAAGUCUUUAAGGGUUGGUCUGUUCGACCAUUAAAAUUUUA
rnacentral:rRNA from 1 species